rnacentral:rRNA from 1 species
UGAAGAUUGUAACCUUGGGGUUGGCUCUUGUCUAUGUUUCUUGGAACAGGACGUCACAGAGGGUGAGAAUCCCGUGCGAUGAGAUGCCCAAUCCUAUGUAAGGUGCUUUCGAAGAGUCGAGUUGUUUGGGAAUGCAGCUCUAAGUGGGUGGUAAAUUCCAUCUAAAGCUAAAUAUUGGCGAGAGACCGAUAGCGAACAAGUACAGUGAUGGAAAGAUGAAAAGAACUUUGAAAAGAGAGUGAAAAAGUACGUGAAAUUGUUGAAAGGGAAGGGUUUGAGAUCAGACUCGAUAUUUUGUGAGCCUUGCCUUCGUGGCGGGGUGACCCGCAGCUUAUCGGGCCAGCAUCGGUUUGGGCGGUAGGAUAAUGGCGUAGGAAUGUGACUUUGCUUCGGUGAAGUGUUAUAGCCUGCGUUGAUGCUGCCUGCCUAGACCGAGGACUGCGAUUUUAUCAAGGAUGCUGGCAUAAUGAUCCCAAACCGCCCGUCUUG